rnacentral:rRNA from 1 species
UAGCUAGUUGGUGAGGUAAAGGCUUACCAAGGCGACGAUCUGUAGCGGGUCUGAGAGGAUGAUCCGCCACACUGGAACUGAGACACGGUCCAGACUCCUACGGGAGGCAGCAGUGGGGAAUUUUGGACAAUGGGGGCAACCCUGAUCCAGCCAUGCCGCGUGAGUGAAGAAGGCCUUCGGGUUGUAAAGCUCUUUCGGCCGGGAAGAAAUCGCAUGGGCCAAUACCCUGUGUGGAUGACGGUACCGGAAUAAGAAGCACCGGCUAACUACGUGCCAACAGCCGCGGUAAUACGUAGGGUGCGAGCGUUAAUCGGAAUUACUGGGCGUAAAGCGUGCGCAGGCGGUUUUGUAGGACAGGCGUGAAAUCCCCGGGCUUAACCUGGGAACUGCGUUUGUGACUGCAAGGCUAGAGUACGGCAGAGGGGGGUGGAAUUCCACGUGUAGCAGUGAAAUGCGUAGAGAUGUGGAGGAACACCAAUGGCGAAGGCAGCCCCCUGGGUCGAUACUGACGCUCAUGCACGAAAGCGUGGGUAGCAAACAGGAUUAGAUACCCUGGUAGUCCACGCCCUAAACUAUGUCAACUAGGUGUUGGGUGGGUAAAACCAUUUAGUACCGUAGCUAACGCGUGAAGUUGACCGCCUGGGGAGUACGGCCGCAAGGUUAAAACUCAAAGGAAUUGACGGGGACCCGCACAAGCGGUGGAUGAUGUGGAUUAAUUCGAUGCAACGCGAAAAACCUUACCUACCCUUGACAUGCCAGGAACUUGCCAGAGAUGGCUUGGUGCCCGAAAGGGAGCCUGGACACAGGUGCUGCAUGGCUGUCGUCAGCUCGUGUCGUGAGAUGUUGGGUUAAGUCCCGCAACGAGCGCAACCCUUGUCGUUAAUUGCCAUCAUUUAGUUGGGCACUUUAACGAGACUGCCGGUGACAAACCGGAGGAAGGUGGGGAUGACGUCAAGUCCUCAUGGCCCUUAUGGGUAGGGCUUCACACGUCAUACAAUGGUCGGUACAAAGGGUUGCCAAGCCGCGAGGCGGAGCCAAUCCCAGAAAGCCGAUCGUAGUCCGGGUUGCAGGCUGCAACUCGCCUGCAUGAAGUCGGAAUCGCUAGUAAUCGUGGAUCAGCAUGUCACGGUGAAUACGUUCCCGGGUCUUGUACACACCGCCCGUCACACCAUGGGAGCGGGUUCCGCCAGAAGUAGGUAGCCUAACCGCAAGGGGGGCGCUUACCACGGCGGGGUUCGUGACUGGGGUGAAGUCGUAACAAGGUAGCCGUAGGGGGACCUGCGGCUG